AUGACCGCUGAGCCCAUGAGCGAAAGCAAGUUGAAUACAUUGGUGCAGAAGCUUCAUGACUUUCUGGCACACUCAUCAGAGGAAUCUGAAGAAACAAGUUCUCCUCCAAGACUUGUGAUGAACCAAAGCACAGAUAAAGUCAGUGGGUCUGGCAAUAACUCUGAUAUGAUGGAAAACAGCAGGGAAGAGGGAGCUAGCUCUGCAGAAAAAUCCAAAUCGUCAGGAUCCUCACGAUCAAAGAGGAAACCUUCAAUUGUAACAAAGUAUGUAGAAUCUGAUGAUGAAAAACCUUUGGAUGAAACUGUAAAUGAAGAUGCUUCUAAUGAAAAUUCAGAAAAUGAUAUUACUAUGCAAAGCUUGCCAAAAGGUACAGUGAUUGUACAACCAGAGCCAGUGCUGAAUGAAGACAAAGAUGAUUUUAAAGGGCCUGAAUUUAGAAGCAGAAGUAAAAUGAAAACUGAAAAUCUCAAAAAACGCGGAGAAGAUGGGCUUCAUGGGAUUGUGAGCUGUACAGCUUGUGGACAACAGGUCAAUCAUUUUCAAAAAGAUUCCAUUUAUAGACAUCCUUCACUGCAAGUACUUAUUUGUAAGAAUUGCUUUAAAUAUUAUAUGAGUGAUGAUAUUAGCCGUGACUCAGAUGGAAUGGAUGAACAGUGUAGAUGGUGUGCAGAAGGUGGAAACUUAAUUUGUUGUGACUUUUGCCAUAAUGCCUUCUGUAAGAAGUGCAUUCUUCGCAACCUUGGUCGAAAGGAGCUGUCUACAAUAAUGGAUGAAAACAACCAAUGGUAUUGCUACAUUUGCCACCCAGAGCCUUUGUUGGACUUGGUCACGGCAUGUAACAGCGUAUUUGAAAACUUAGAACAGUUGUUGCAACAAAAUAAGAAGAAGAUAAAAGUUGACAAUGAAAAGACUAGUAAAGUAUAUGAGCAUGCACCCAGAUUUUCUCCAAAGAAAAACAGUUCAAAUUGUAAUGGAGAAGAAAAGAAGUUAGAUGAUUCAUAUUCUGGUUCUGUAACCUACUCUUAUUCAGCACUAAUUGUGCCCAAGGACAUGAUUAAGAAGGCAAAAAAACUGAUUGAGACUACUGCCAACAUGAAUUCCAGUUACAUUAAAUUUUUGAAGCAGGCAACAGAUAAUUCAGAAAUCAAUUCUGCUACAAAGUUACGUCAGCUUAAGGCUUUUAAGUCUGUGUUGGCUGAUAUCAAGAAAGCUCAUCUUGCAUUAGAAGAAGAUUUGAAUUCAGAGAUUCAAGCUUUGGAUGCUGUAAACAAAGAGAAAAAUACCGAAGAGCAUAAAGUCAUAGAUGCUAAGUCUGAAACAAAAGUAAGAAAAGGAGAAAAACCUUGUGUUUUGGAAAGGAAGGAUAUUUCAAAAUCAGAAGUUCCAGAAGACAUUUUUGAAAAUCUUGAGACUGCUAUGGAAGUUCAGAGUUCAUCAGAGUAUCAGGGAGAUGGCAACAGUGGAACUGAACAAGAACUGGAGACUUCUAUAAAAUUAAAUAUUACUUCAAAAGACAACAGAGGAGGUGCUGAUUGUCAGGAAGUUCCACAAGAUAAAGAUAGCUAUAAAAGUUCUUGUCUGAACCCUAAGCCAGAGAACUGUGAACUUGAACAGGAAAAGAAUGAUAAUGAGCAUUUGGCUAAAAGUGAAGUUCCGUUACUUUCAGAAGAAUCUGAUCUUCGAAGAUCCCCGCGUGUAAAGACUACACCUUUGAGGCGACAGACAGAAACCAACCGUACAACAUCUAAUUCAGAUGAAGAAAAUAAUGAAACAGUUAAGGAGCAACAAAAACUUACAGUUCCAAUGAGAAAAAAGGAUAAGCGGAAUUCUUCUGACAGUGCUAUAGAUAAUCCUAAACCUAAUAAAUUGCCUAAAUCUAAGCAGUCAGAGAUUGUGGAUCACAUUUCAGAUUCUGAAGAAAUGCUGGCAAUCCUCAAAGACGUGCCCAGUAUGAGUCACAGUUCUUCAGAUACUGAUAUUAAUGAACCUCAUACAAAUAACAAGAAGACUUUUUACUCAGAGAUUCAAAGAGGGAAAGAUGAUAAAAGAAAAAGGAAACGAAAAAGUUCUACUUCUGGCUCAGAUUUUGAUAUUAAGAAAGGUAAAUCAGUUAAAAAGUCUAUAAUUUCUAAAAAGAAACGGCAAAACCAGUCUGAAUCUUCUAAUUAUGACUCAGAAUUAGAAAAAGAGAUAAAGAGAAUGAGUAAAAUUGGGACUGCCAGAACAACCAAAAAAAGAGUUCCAAAUAAAGAAGAUUAUGAUUCUUCUGAAGAUGAAAAACACAACAAACAAGGAAUGGAUAAUCAAGGUCAUAAAAGUUUGAGGACUGCACAGGAAGGAUCAUCUGAUGAUGCUGAAAGGAAACAAGAGAGAGAGAAUUUCUCUUCAGCAGAAGGCACAGUUGAUAAAGACAAGACCAACAUGGAAUUGAGAGAUUGCCUCUCUAAGAAGCAGCAGCCUGAUGUUUCCUCAGAGAGUGCUGAUAAGCUUUGUUCUGGGAAAGAGGAGAGUUUUAAUUCUCCAGAAGAUAAAAAGUUUGCUGAAUCUAAAGGAAAGAGUAAGCACCAGCGAACCAGAAUGUGUAAGAAAAUACUGGGUGGCUUAUGUGAUGUUGCUGAGAAGUUCUCAGAGAAAGAACAGAGUGAUGAAUCCUCUGAAGAUGAUAACGAGCAGAGCAAAAAGGAAAUUGAAGAAAAAGAAAAGAAGACUGCAGACUUGAGUGAAAAAGUGAUGGAACAAGAGUAUGAAUCAUCAUCUGAUACUACUGAGAAAUUACCUGAGGGAGAAGAAAUUUGUCACUUUCCUAAAAGGAUAAAACAAAAUAAGAGCUCAGCUGAUGGGGAAAAGAAAUGCAAAAAAAGAAAAGAUAAAGCUUCUAAAAAGAAGGGUGAAUUAUCUGAUAAUUCUGAGAAGUUACCAGGGAAAAGAGAAAGUUGUGAUUCUUCAGAAGAUAAGAGGAGUAAGAAUGGAACAUCGAGUAGAGAGAAGAAAAGGUUCAACUUGCCUGAAAAGAGUUCGAGGAAGAGACAGGAUUGUUCAUCAUCUGAUACUGAAAAAUAUUCCAUGAAGGAAGAUGGCUGUGAUUUUUCUGAUAAGAGACCAAAAAGAAUAGAAUUAAGGGAAAGAAGGAAUUUAAAUUCAAAUAGAAAUAGCAAGGAAGUACAAAGUGGCUCAUCAUCUUCUGAUGUUGAGGAAAGUUCUGAAGAUAAUAAAAACCUGAAGAAACAAAGAACUUCAGCUAAAAAGAAGGCAGGCAGUAUGAAGGAGAAAAUGAGAAACUCCUUGAGAACAAGCACUAAAAGGAAGCAGGCUGACAUUACUUCCUCAUCUUCUUCUGAUAUAGGAGAUGAUGAUCAGAAAUCUGUAGGUGAGGGGAGCAGUGAUGAGCAGAAAAUUAAGCCUGUGACUGAAAAUUUAGUGCUGUCGUCACAUACUGGAUUUUGUCAAUCUUCAGGAGACGAAGCCUUAUCUAAAUCAGUGCCUGUCACAGUGGAUGAUGACGACGAUGACAAUGAUCCUGAAAAUAGAAUUGCCAAGAAGAUGCUUUUAGAAGAAAUUAAAGCCAAUCUUUCCUCCGAUGAGGAUGGAUCUUCAGAUGAGUCAGAAGAAGGGAAGAAAAGAACUGGAAAACACAAUGAAGAAAACCCUGGAGAUGAGGAAGUAAAAAAUCAAGCCAUUUCUGAAUCAGAUUCAGAUUCUGAAGAAUCUAAGAAGCCAAGAUACAGACAUAGGCUUUUGAGACACAAGCUGAGUCUGAGUGAUGGAGAAUCUGGAGAAGAAAAAAAGAUGAAGCCUAAAGAGCACAAAGAAGCCAAAAGCAGAAAUAGAAGGAAGGUGAGUAGUGAAGAUUCUGAAGAUUCUGAUUUUCAGGAAUCUGGAGUUAGUGAAGAAGUUAGUGAAUCUGAAGAUGAACAACGGCCCAGAACAAGAUCUACGAAGAAAGCAGAGUUGGAAGAAAAUCAGAGAAGUUACAAACAGAAGAAGAAAAGGCGACGCAUUAAGGUUCAAGAAGACUCAUCUAGUGAAAACAAGAGUAAUUCUGAAGAAGAUAAAGAAGAAGAUGAAGAAGAAGAUGAAGAAGAAGAUGAAAAUGAUGAUUCGAAGUCUCCUGGAAAAGGCAGAAAGAAAAUUCGGAAGAUUCUUAAAGAUGAUAAGCUAAGAACAGAAACACAAAAUGCUCUUAAGGAAGAAGAAGAGAGGCGAAAACGUAUUGCUGAGAGAGAGCGAGAGCGAGAAAAAUUGAGAGAGGUGAUAGAAAUUGAAGAUGCUUCACCGACUAAGUGUCCAAUAACAACGAAGUUGGUUUUAGAUGAAGAUGAAGAAACCAAAGAACCUUUAGUGCAGGUUCAUAGAAAUAUGGUUAUCAAAUUGAAACCACAUCAAGUAGAUGGUGUUCAAUUUAUGUGGGAUUGCUGCUGUGAGUCUGUUAAAAAAACAAAGAAAUCUCCAGGUUCAGGAUGCAUUCUUGCCCACUGCAUGGGCCUUGGUAAGACUUUACAGGUGGUAAGUUUUCUUCAUACAGUUCUUUUUUUGAAUUGGAUGAAUGAAUUUGAGAAGUGGCAGGAGGGAUUAAAAGAUGAUGAGAAGCUUGAGGUCUCUGAAUUAGCAACUGUGAAACGUCCUCAAGAAAGAAGCUACAUGCUACAGAGGUGGCAAGAAGAUGGUGGUGUUAUGAUCAUAGGCUAUGAGAUGUACAGAAAUCUUGCUCAAGGAAGGAAUGUGAAGAGUAGGAAACUUAAAGAAAUAUUUAACAAAGCAUUGGUUGAUCCAGGACCUGACUUUGUUGUUUGUGAUGAAGGCCAUAUUCUAAAAAAUGAAGCAUCUGCUGUUUCAAAAGCUAUGAAUUCUAUACGAUCAAGGAGGAGAAUUAUUUUAACAGGAACACCACUUCAAAAUAACCUAAUUGAGUAUCAUUGCAUGGUUAACUUUAUCAAAGAAAAUUUGCUUGGAUCCAUUAAGGAAUUCAGGAAUCGGUUUAUAAAUCCAAUCCAAAAUGGUCAGUGUGCAGAUUCUACCAUGGUAGAUGUCAGAGUAAUGAAAAAACGAGCUCACAUUCUCUAUGAAAUGUUAGCUGGAUGUGUUCAGAGGAAAGAUUAUACAGCAUUAACAAAGUUUUUGCCUCCAAAGCAUGAGUAUGUUUUAGCUGUGAGAAUGACUCCUAUUCAGUGCAAACUCUAUCAAUACUACUUAGAUCACUUAACAGGUGUAGGUAAUAGCAGUGAAGGCGGAAGAGGAAAGGCCGGUGCAAAACUUUUCCAAGAUUUUCAAAUGUUAAGUAGAAUCUGGACUCACCCAUGGUGUUUGCAGCUGGACUACAUUAGUAAAGAAAAUAAGGGAUAUUUUGAUGAAGACAGUAUGGAUGAAUUUAUAGCUUCAGAUUCCGAUGAAACCUCCAUGAGUUUAAGCUCUGAUGAUUAUACAAAAAAGAAAAAAGCAAAGGGGAAAAAGGGAAAAAAAGAUAGUAGCUCAAGUGGAAGUGGCAGUGACAAUGAUGUUGAAGUGAUUAAAGUCUGGAAUUCAAGAUCUCGAGGAGGUGGUGAAGGAAAUGUGGAUGAAACAGGAAACAAUCCCUCAGUUUCUUUAAAACUGGAAGAAAGUAAAGCUACUUCCUCUUCUAAUCCAAGCAGCCCAGCUCCAGACUGGUACAAAGAUUUUGUUACAGAUGCUGAUGCUGAGGUUUUAGAGCAUUCUGGAAAAAUGGUACUUCUCUUUGAAAUUCUUCGAAUGGCAGAGGAAAUUGGGGAUAAAGUCCUUGUUUUCAGCCAAUCUCUCAUAUCUCUGGACUUGAUUGAAGAUUUUCUUGAAUUGGCUAGUAGAGAAAAGACAGAAGAUAAAGAUAAGCCUCUUAUUUAUAAAGGUGAAGGGAAGUGGCUCAGAAACAUUGAUUAUUAUCGUUUAGAUGGCUCUACAACUGCUCAGUCAAGGAAAAAAUGGGCUGAAGAAUUUAAUGAUGAAACUAAUGUGAGAGGGCGAUUAUUUAUCAUUUCUACCAAAGCAGGAUCUCUUGGAAUUAAUCUGGUAGCUGCUAAUCGAGUGAUUAUAUUUGAUGCUUCUUGGAAUCCAUCUUAUGACAUCCAGAGUAUAUUCAGAGUUUAUCGCUUUGGACAAACUAAACCUGUCUAUGUAUAUAGGUUCUUAGCUCAGGGAACCAUGGAAGAUAAGAUUUAUGAUCGGCAAGUAACUAAGCAGUCACUGUCUUUUCGAGUUGUUGAUCAACAGCAAGUUGAACGUCAUUUUACCAUGAAUGAGCUGACUGAACUUUAUACCUUUGAGCCAGACUUGUUAGAUGACCCUAAUUCAGAAAAGAAGAAGAAAAGGGAUACUCCCAUGCUGCCAAAGGACACCAUACUUGCAGAACUUCUUCAAAUACAUAAAGAACAUAUUGUAGGAUAUCAUGAACAUGAUUCUCUUUUGGACCACAAAGAAGAAGAAGAGUUGACUGAAGAAGAAAGAAAAGCAGCUUGGGCUGAAUAUGAAGCAGAGAAGAAGGGACUGACCAUGCGUUUCAACAUACCAACUGGGACCAAUUUACCCCCUGUCAGUUUUAACUCUCAAACUCCUUAUAUUCCUUUCAAUUUGGGAGCCCUAUCAGCAAUGAGUAAUCAACAGCUGGAGGACCUCAUUAAUCAAGGAAGAGAAAAAGUUGUGGAAGCAACAAACAGUGUGACAGCAGUGAGGAUUCAGCCUCUUGAAGAUAUAAUUUCAGCUGUAUGGAAAGAAAACAUGAAUCUCUCAGAGGCCCAGGUACAGGCAUUAGCAUUAAGUAGACAAGCCAGCCAGGAGCUUGAUGUCAAACGAAGAGAGGCAAUCUACAAUGACGUGUUGACAAAACAACAGAUGUUAAUCAGCUGUGUUCAGCGAAUACUUAUGAACCGAAGGCUCCAGCAACAGUACAAUCAGCAGCAGCAGCAGCAAAUGACUUAUCAACAAGCAACGCUGGGUCACCUCAUGAUGCCAAAGCCUCCGAAUUUAAUCAUGAAUCCUUCUAACUACCAGCAGAUUGAUAUGAGAGGAAUGUAUCAGUCAGUGGCUGGUGGUAUGCAGCCACCACCAUUACAACGUGCACCACCCCCAAUGAGAAGCAAAAAUCCAGGACCUUCCCCAGGGAAAUCAAUGUGAUUUUGCACUAAAAGCUUAAAAGAUUGUUAAAAUCAUAGAAAGAUCUUUUAUUUUUUUAGGAAUCAAUGACUUAACAGAACUCAACUGUAUAAAUAGUUUGGUCCCCUUAAAUGCCAAUCUUCCAUAUUAGUUUAAAAAUUUUUUUUAAUAGGGCAUACCAUUUCUUCCUGACAUUUGUCAGUGAUGUUGCCUAGAAUCUUCUUACACACAUUGAGUACAGAAGAUCUUUCAAAUUGUUUUCAGUGAAAACAAGUCCUUCCAUAACAGUAACAACUCCACAGGUUUCCUCUCUAAAUUUUUAUGCCUGCUUUUAGUGACCAUAAAAUUGUCAUAAAUUAAUGAAUUUAUGAAAGAAUACUGAUUUAUAUAUUCAUUCUUUACAUAUAAAGACACACAGCUGAGUUCUUAGAGUUGAUUCCUCAAGUUAUGGAAUACUUUUGUACUUAUCCAUUUCUUGACUAA
rnacentral:lncRNA from 1 species